UACAGAGGGUGCGAGCGUUAAUCGGAAUUACUGGGCGUAAAGCGUGCGUAGACGGUUUCGUAAGUCGGGUGUGAAAUCCCCGGGCUCAACCUGGGAAUUGCAUUCGAAACUGCGAGGCUAGGGUACGGAAGAGGGAAGCGGAAUUUCUGGUGUAGCGGUGAAAUGCGUAGAUAUCAGAAGGAACAUCAGUGGCGAAAGCGGCUUCCUGGUCCAGUACCGACGUUCAGGCACGAAAGCUAGGGGAGCAAACGGG
rnacentral:rRNA from 1 species